UAGCAGUCAGAGGGUAAUGAAGUGACAGAAGGAAGGAACAGAUGGCAGGGACAUUCAGAAGCAGAGACAACAGGGCUUGGCUUCUCCACAAAGGGCAGAGAGUUCCAGAGAAGGAAAAGUUGAAGAUUAAUCUAAGCUAUUUAUCCUGGAAGACGGAAAGCAUGGCAAUGCCAUCAGUGAAAUGGAGUUGGCAAUUGGCUCCCAUGGGUUCCUGGGAACCCCGAGAUUAGUAAGAGAAUUGAGAGAGCUCCUUCUGAGAGGAUGUGAUUUUGGCACCUGCUUUCUGCUGGAAAUGGAAACAGCUGAGAGAGAAAGGGGCAUGUGAGGAGAUGCUAUUCAUCAGACAUCUGGUUAGUAUAUGGAGGCUCUUUAUUUGUCUAAAGUCUAAUUACAAUAUUACAUACAUGACCUUUUCUUUGCUCAGUAUGUAUGUAUGAAGGUAUGUAUAUAUGGAUGGAUGGAUGGAUGGAUGGAUGGAUGGAUGGAUGAAUGGAUGGUUUUAAUUCAUUUUUUGUUUAUUUAUAUGCAGACUUUCUUCUAGAAGAAAUUAAGGAAGUUUAAAAAUUAGUAUUAAGGGUAAAGUUAAUAGAUGAGAACACUGGAACAAAAGGAAAGUGUUAAGGACCUAAUGUUUGUGUCCCCCUCAAAUUCAUAUGCUGAAAGCUAAUCCCCAAUGUGGUAGUAUUUGGAGGUGGCAACUUUGAGAGGUCAUUAUGUCUUGAGGAUGGGGCCUUCAUGAGUGGGAUUAGUGUCCUUAUAAGAAGAGCACCAAGCUAGCCUGAAGCUAGCUUGGCCUCUUUCUACCCUAUGAGAAUACAAGGAGAAAUUGGCAAUCUGUAUCCUGAAAAGGUUUUCUUACAAACCCAACUAUUCUAGUCUCAAGAACUCCAGUCUCCAGAACUGUGAGCAAGACAUUUCUGUUGUUAAUAAGCCACCCAGACUCUGGUUAAUGUGUUCUAGCAGCCUGAGCUAAGACAAUGAGAGAAAACAAAUAAUAAAUCUGGGGAUAGUACUAAAACCA
rnacentral:lncRNA from 12 species